rnacentral:tRNA from 1 species
GCCGAGGUAGCUCAGCCUGGGAGAGAUUGUAAAACUCCAGCACUCCGCUGAAGCCGGAGCUGUCGCCGGUUCAAAUCCGGCUCUCGGCA